GGGGAUGUAGCUCAGUUGGUAGAGUGCUUGUCUUGCAUGCACAAGGCCCUGGGUUCAGUCCCCAGCACCA
rnacentral:tRNA from 1 species